rnacentral:rRNA from 1 species
UACGUAGGUGGCGAGCGUUGUCCGGAUUUACUGGGCGUAAGGGAGCGUAGGCGGACUUUUAAGUGAGAUGUGAAAUACUCGGGCUCAACUUGAGUGCUGCAUUUCAAACUGGAAGUCUAGAGUGCAGGAGAGGAGAAUGGAAUUCCUAGUGUAGCGGUGAAAUGCGUAGAGAUUAGGAAGAACACCAGUGGCGAAGGCGAUUCUCUGGACUGUAACUGACGCUGAGGCUCGAAAGCGUGGGGAGCAAACAGG